CUCUGUUUCUGUCUGGCACAAUAGGGAGAGGCUGGUAGGAAUGAAGGCCUCAGGAACUUUUCCACUUAGCCUGUGGCCCAGUACAUCCCAGGGCCUACUGAAGGUCAACAUGGAGGAGAGUUCCUUCCACAACCUAACAGUUUUGUGAACCCCGGUGUCUCAGACACUGUUUUAAGUAGUGAACUUGGGAACAGGUAUGUUGUAUGAUUCAGAUAUACAGACUCACCUGCGCCUUGAGAAAAAGAAGAUGUGACAUGACCUAUUUGCUUCUACAAGGCUUUCAUCUAUUGCUCUAAACUGCGGCCCAAUACAGCAGAAGUGGUCCCCUGUGGAUGGAGAUGCUGUGUCUGCACCCUUCCGCAGACUCACAGGUGCUGGAGGACUCUUUCUCUCCUACAGUUCUGACACUCGGUAACAG